CUUUUUCAAAAAAAAAUAUCGAACAACUUUUGUUCUUUGGCAUGGUAGAAAUUUUUUUCCCUAGAUUCUUUGAGAUUAUCCUACAAAAUAAUACAUAUAGGAUCGGGAUCCAAGCUAAUCAAUCUAUAAAUGCUCGACAUAAAUUGAAUACUUCCAAAUCCUAAGGUAAGAAAGUAUCGGCUUACGCCUAGUCCAUACCUCAUAUGGAGUCAUUGUGACUGAUUAAUUCAAAAUUCAGCUUAGAACAUAACAAGUAGUCUCAAGAGC
rnacentral:lncRNA from 1 species